AGAAGUUUCUUUCCACAUUCAAAGUUGUCAAUCAAAUUCCAGGUAGACUAGGAAGCGCUACAUCUUCACCAUCUAUACAACUUGAAAGGAGAGACAAAUAGAAAUCCCAAUUUCUGGAUAUUGAACUCAAGAACUGGUUGAGGUAAAGAUAUCUUAAAUUCAAUGGAAUAAAAAUGCUUGCUACAGAAUAUACCAAACUUCGCUAAAGACAACCAAAACUCCUCUCAUGCUAUCAAAGCAGAAUCUGCAACUUCAAAGUAUAUUGACAACACCGUCAUGAAUAAACCUGGACAAACAAAUGACACUGCAAUUGUGCUCAAAACAUAACCAUUACAAAUGAUCAGGAUGAGAAACCUCUACGUCUGUUUCGAUUUCUUGGUGAUCAGUAGCAUGCAACUAGUAUGAAUUAGUAAUGCAGAAAUUCAGGCUUGAAAACAUUCAUCCGAGUUCAACCCCCAGCUCUUCCUGAAAUUGAAUGCCAUAAUUUAAAAAACUAUAGUGCUGUACAAAGAAAACCAGGCACAACCACACGAGCGAGGAACUCCUUCGAAAUCAUGUAGACCACAAUACCAGGUAACAAAAUGACCAGAGAUUCUUGAAUUCAAGCUCCCUAAAUGGAAACCAGUUAUGCAACAUCACAUUCAACAUGUGCAAAAUCAAUCAGGAUUAUGGUGAACCAUAAAUUGAAAUUCUUCUUUGCAUCUCCUAAUUCUGAUAAUUCACCCCGUCAGUCUACAGCAAUAACAUCAAACAGCAACAGAGAGAAUUUUGACAGAUGAAGAAGCUAAUUGACGUCAGAAUUUUCCAAAAACUUGUACUGGACCCUGGAGAACAUGACAAACCAAUUAUUUCUAUGCACCCUGAAGAACAUGACAAACCAAAUAUUUCCAUGCACCCUUUAUUCUUUCAAAUACUUUAUGAACUCAAUAGUAAAAAUGCUGAAAACACAGCAUAGUUGGACGACCAUCAUGAGUAAUUCAGAAUUCAUCCAUCAAAAGCUAAAAAAUUGAAGAAAUAUAUGUGAACCAUCAUCCCACCGUGCUAUUCAAUUCCAUAAGGCCUAUAACAUUUAUCUUGAACCUGUUACUUAAGAACCAAACCAUGACCAAAACUCCUAAAUCCAAUCUGCAGAAUUAAACAGAUUAUAAAGCAUGACUAAUGCAUCAGUGAUGUUUUCAACAAACACAAUAACAGGAUGGCAUCAAGAGAUUCCAUGAUUCAAACCACAAUAUCGUGGAUAUCUGAAUAACAUAAUCAUCCAAGAGACCCCUAUUUCUUCACAAUCCUCUCGCUAGGACUAGAGUUGUGCAAGGGAGUACCAGGACAUCAGAACCCAACUUAAAACUCGACACCAAGAUGAAAACCAAUAUCAGAGCUGUCCAUUAAUCCCAACCAUCCAGAAAUUUAGGUUAUAUACAUACCAUCAAAACUAAUUAAUAUACCAAGCAUAAUGUUAAUUCUUUUCAGAUCAUGAUGAAUCAUCAAAACACCAGGAACCGCCAAUACAUGCAUGUUCAAUCGCAGAAUUAGAUAGUUUACAAGAAAACAAUCCCCAAAAAGAAAGGGCCUGGGAUUAAGCUAAUCAGAAAUUAAUAGAGAAGCAAAAUAGGUGCAAGUGAAUUAAAUGGGCAGGUCACAGCACAAUUAACAGUUGGGAUUAAGCAGUGAUACGCAAAUCACUGCUCUCUUAAAUGAGGAUCAGGAACAUGGGCUUCCAAGUGAUUACUGCCAAAAUGAUUGAUGCAUAAGGUAUUUCCAUAAACAUAGUGGACUGCAGAAGGAAGGGAUCAUGAAAAUUUUAAAUUAUAUAAUAGACACCAGAAGUACCAAAGCCCGUAUGGGCUUCCGAGUGAUUACUGCCAGAAUGAUUGAUGCAUAAGGUAUUUCCAUAAACAUAGUGGACUACGGAAGGAAGGGAUCAUGAAAAUUUUAAAUUAAAUUUAAAUUAUAUAAUAGACAUCAGAAGUACCAAAGCCCGUAACAUCCCCAAGCAGAAAGGAAUGGUAAGAGUAGACGAACACCCUCCAAAACAAUGUACUAGCCUUUGAUCUGACAAUAGAGACCUUAAGUCUUCGCCACACCUCCAAGUCACUGGAAGCCUAGACUCGCAAAAAAUAAUAUAGUAAAUUAAAGAACAGAGAGAAAAUCAUUUUUCAAGAAAAUGAAAAAAAAAAUAGAAAAAAAAAGGUUGGGAAAGAGAAAAGCUCAUCCAAAAUCUUAUCACAAAACCAAAUAGCAGGGAUCCCAAACAUGGCCAAUAGUCCCCGUUCAAGCUUCCCUAAAAUCAAGACAACAGAUAGAAACCGUCACCAAAUACCCCCAGUGAAUUUUCCAGGAAAGAGAACAAAGACCACGUUGGCAAGAAAAACUCCCAAUUUAAUUCAAAUCCAUCCAAAUGAAAGCUCUUCUACCCUCCGCAAACCAGAAGUCCACUAUUCCUGAAAGACGACAUCAAAAGAACCAGAACCAGAGGAAACGAAAUCUUGAAACAUCACCAAGAUCGGAACAAACAGUAAAGCAACUGCCUAUAGCAAUGCAACAAUGAUGCAGAAAGCAAAACUCCAGAUUACAGAUUACAUUCACAUCCAUCCAAUAAUUUUUAAGAAUCAUCACCUCAAAAGCCCAUAUUCAGUCACCACCCUCAGUAGAAUUCUGCAAGUGAGUGAAAACAUGAAUAGCCAACAAAGACUUGAACUUGGCACAAAGAUGAAAUAAAAAUUGUAGAUCAUCUAGAAUAUUAUCAGAACUGACAAAUGUAGCAUUCAAUCUUCUUCAGACCAUGAUGAAUCAGCACCACCAAAAACACUACCUAUAGAGACAUGUUAGAUGACAGAAUUUAAUUCCCGUUAGAUACCAAGCACCGCAGAGCCAUCCCCAAAGAGAAGUCCUGGACUAAGCUAAUCCAUCAAAAUACGAAACACAAGAAAAGAACAAUAGGGUACAAUAACAUAGGUGAAUUGAAUGGACAGAAGACAAUUCAUAGAUGGUUUAGAAAAAAAAAAGUUGAGAAUAAGCAGAGCUAUACACUUGGUUAUACCUCAAUCUAUUUCUCAUGGAUCAGGAAAGUCAACUCUGCAGGGAUUACCACCAGACCAAAUAAUGGAGACAGAAUAAGAAAAGAUUAACAGAAAAAUUAUAUAGUGUCAAAACCCCUAAAUUCCUCGUGCACAAAAGAUAAAUUAGUAUAGGUGAGAAAAUAACUCCCUCCAAAUAAGUUUACUAGCCCUUGAUCCGAGAAUAGAGAGGUAAGUUGAACCACCUUCACUGAAGCCCUAGUAAUAUAGGAAAUUAUAAGACAGAGCAGAUCUACCAUCCAGAGAUCUCUCAAUCAAUUUCAAGGAAACAACAGAAAACAAGUAGGGAAAGGGAGAGCUCCUCCAAAAUCUUUUCGCCCAGAAUAGCACAGUAACAAACAUGAUAACAAUGCUUUGAUCCAAGCUAUCCUAAAAUGAAGACAAGAGAGAAGCCAUUACCAACAAACACCAGUGAUCUCAAGGCAAACAGAACAAACAAGAGAACUCCGAUUUACCACAUCCAUCCAAGAGAAGAGAGCACUUUUUGCCCAUACAGAACUCCAGCAUUCUAAGACAACCACACCAAAAGAACCAGAAAAGAAGAGACAAUCUUGGAAAAAGAAAAGAACGAGUACCAUUCACGAAGUAUUCAACAUACUGCAAAAGUGCAAGAAAGUGCAGGCCUUCAUGAUCAAUUCUUAAUCAACACCACAGAGAAACUUCUGGAAGCCCAGAGCCACCACCUACAGCAACACCACCUAAAGCAACAACAAAACACCACCUGGAGGUCCAGGUAAAAGCUCCAGAUUUUACAUUACAUUCAGACCCAUCCAAUUUAUUCACGAAGAGACACAUCCCAGAGACCUCCCUUUGACUGCGGAAAGCAACACAAAAAGCCAACAAAAAUUCAAAAUUUGACACAGAUGAGAACUGACAAUGGAAUGAACAAAUAACACCAGCUUUUUACAAAUUUAGAUUACCUACCAUAACCCCAAACCUAUUCAUAUAACAAGCAUAAACUUCAGAUCAUGAUGAACCACCAAAACACCAGAACCUACCUUAAAACAUGUUUAGUGGCAGAAUUUGAGCACUAAGAAAUACUUCAGAAGAUCAAAAUCGCCAAACUGGUAAGAUCCUAAGCAUCUGAGAACCAUUCCCCAGACAUAAAUAAGGCAUGGGAUAAGCAGCAAAAUGGGUGCAUGUGAAUUGAAUGGGCAGGUCGAAGGUGUCCAACCAUUAAUCGCUGGGAUUAAGCAGUGAUACCUUUUCCUUGAGGAUCAGGAACACAAGACUUCCAAGCAAUUACUGACAAAACAAGUAAUGCAUAACAUUUCUACAAACAUGGUGGACUAUGGAAGAAAAGAUUUACAAAAAAACUAGAUUAUAUUUAUAAUAGUCUGCAGACAUCAAAAAGUACUAAAACCUGUAAAAUGCUCAAGCAAAAAAAAUAAAAUGAUAAGCAUAGAUAAGAAGAUAAAUCCCCCUCUAUAAUAAUGUACUAGCCUUUGAUCUUGAGGACAGAGACCUAAGUUUUGGCCACACCUCUGAAUCACCAGAAUCCUAGAUUCCACACAAAAUGAUAUAGUAAAUUAGAGAACAAGUAGAGAAAAUCAUUUUUAAAGAAACAGCAAAAAAAAAGAGCAGGGAAAGAGAAAGCUUAUCCAAAAUCUUGUUACAAAACCCGUUAGCAGGGUACCAAACACACCAACACUCCUACAACAAGCUUCCCUAAAAUCAACACAACAGACAGAAGGCAUCACCAACCGCCACCUUGAUUUUUUCAGGCAGAGGGAACAAAGAAAGACCAGGUUGAAAAGAAAUCUCCCGAUUUUAUUCACAUCCAUCCAAGAGAGAACUCCUCUCGCCUCCACACACCAGAAAUCCACUAUUCUUGAAAGACAUCAAAAAAACCAGAAGACAAGACAAAUCUUGAAAAAUCACCAAGAACAAAACACAGUAAUUAGCGUCAAGUCCUUUUACCAAUCCACUCUAUAGGGAGACUGCUGAAAAACCAGAACUGCUGCCUACAGCAAUGCAAAAAUAAAGCAGAAAGCAAAAUCAAGGAUCACAUUCACAUCCAUUGCAUAAUUCCACGAAGAAUCACAUCCCAUAAUUCUAAAAAAAUGGCAUCCAAAAGCCCAUGUUCCAUCACCACCCUCAAUAAAGGAAUGGAUCAAAAGACUUGGCACAAAGCCAAGAAUAAUCCUCAAAUAAAAACUCUGAACAAUUUACCAUUCAAUCAAACCAAUAUGCAUAGCCUUAACUCUUCUUCAGAUCAAGCUGCAUAAGCAAAAUACCAGGACCCCCACCCAUACAAAAGUUUGAUGACGGAAUCUACUUCCUGUUAUAUACUGAGCAGCACAUAACCAUCCCCAAAGAAAAGCACUGGAUUAAGCUAGUCCAUCAAAUCCAAAAGCCAAAAAAAAAUGCUAACCUUAGGUGAAUUGAAUGGGUAGGUUGAAAGCAUUCACACAGUUUUUCCAGAAAUAAACGGUUGAAUAGCAAAGUUAUGCACUUGGUUACAACCCGUUCUAUUCAGAGUGGAUCAGGAAAGUUGACUCUGCAUGACAUGCUGCAGACCAAAAAGAUUCACGGACAAAUUAUAUUAUAAAUAUGGUGUCCAACCCCCUAAAUUCCUCAAGCACAAAAGAACAAUUAGCGUAGGUGAGAAAUUAACUCCCUCCAAAAAAUUUUACAAGCCCUUGAUCUGAGGAUGGAAAGGCAAGUUUGAAUCACAAAUCACUGGAACCCAAAGUUGCAACACCCUAGUAAUAUAGGAAAUUAGAGAACAAGCAGAGCAAAUCCACAAAUGUCCUAAUCAACUUCAACAAAACAGCAGAAAACAAGCAGGGAAAUAGAGGUCCUCCAAAAUCUUGUUAAGCCCGAAUAGCAGGGUAACAAACAUGAUGAAAAUGCUCCGAUCCAAACUUCCCUAAAAUGAAGAUAAUAGUUAAGCCAUUACCAACGUGCGCCAGUGAUUUUUAGGCAAAGAACACAAACAAAGAAUUGAUUGGCAGAAGAGAACUCCCAAUUUAUCACCUUCAUCCAUCCAAGAAGAGUUCUUUUUGCUUCUAUCCAUCCAGGAAGAGCUCUUUUCACUUUCAUACACAGAACUCCAUCAUUCUAAGAUCACAUCAAAAGAACCAGAAUUUAAAAGCUAAGAAAUACUUGACAACAUCAAUAUUACCAUAUUGAUACGAUCCUAAGCAUCUGAGAACCAUUCCCAAAGACAGAAGGCAGGGAACCAAAAUAAAUUCA
rnacentral:lncRNA from 1 species